rnacentral:rRNA from 1 species
UACGGAGGGUGCAAGCGUUAUCCGGAUUCACUGGGUUUAAAGGGUGCGUAGGUGGGCAUGUAAGUCAGUGGUGAAAUCUCCGGGCUUAACCCGGAAACUGCCAUUGAUACUAUAGGUCUUGAAUACCGUGGAGGUAAGCGGAAUAUGUCAUGUAGCGGUGAAAUGCUUAGAUAUGACAUAGAACACCAAUUGCGAAGGCAGCUGACUACAGGGGCAUUGACACUGAGGCACGAAAGCGUGGGGAUCAAACAGG